UCUGCUUGACUUGACUCAGCUAUCUUAUCAAACAAACUUAAAUACCCCAAAAUUUAACUCUAACUUAACCUAUUUAAAGCCCCUAGCCAAAACCUUCCCUUCACGAAAACUCCACGAAAAACCUAGCCCCUCCAAAACUCAUCUCCACCAAAACUCCACGAUAAACGCAACUCCACCAAAACCAUCCUCCGUGUAGCCUGCUCCUAGCCUCCUCCGCCACUUCUCCACGUCAACCGUGACCUAGCCUCCUCUGCCACUCCUCUGUGCUGCCAGGGACCUAACUUCCUCUGCUACUCCUCCAUGCCGCUCGCGACCUAGUAUGCGCCACUCUUCUGCGCCGCCGGCGACCUAGUCUCCUCCGCCACCCCUCCGUGCCGCCUGUGACCCAAUCCCCUUUAAAGCCACUGAAGCUUUCACGCCUCUUCCAAUGCUAUCGUUUCUAUCACUUAGGGUUGUCUCGUUGUGCGGCCAGUAGCCGAUCCUUUCCUUCGUCGGGUUAGCAGCAAGAUUCUCCUUUCCUUUUUCAACGCACUAUCGAGUUUCGAGACGACGCCAUGCCCAUCUUCACUGCGUUGGUAGCAACGGUGCUUUCUUUUCAGGCGCUCCCUUUGAUCACCUCCAUGCUAUCGAUCGAGUAGUCCAAAAACCUCUUCUCCUUGCUCAAUUUGGAGUUGAAGUCCUUCGAUGAGAUUAUCGCUAAUUACCUAUCACAGUUCCUGCGGGAAGCCCGGUUUAGGGUUUGCUUUUCCCUUGCUAUCCUCCUCAAGCAGGAAUCCAUGCUUUCUUUCAUUUCUUUUUGGAAUCCAUUGAAAUGUUGACGGUGAGCUACAAGAUGGCAUGUCAAGCCUAUGCGGUAUGGCUGAUUGUUUAUACAAUUUUUACUGUGUUUAUUUUUUUUUGGUUUGUGAAAUGUGCCAGAGUUAACAUAAACUUCCUAAUCAAUUUGUGCUUUUCUUAUUUAGUAGGGAUGAAACUUUGUUGACUUACUAAAGAUAUCUGCUCUCUUGUGCGUUGUGUUUCCCUCCAGCACUCUCUGGCUAUACAUGAGAGGUUAACAUGGCAACAUCAAGCAUGCAAGUGAUUCUGAACCCCUUUUCCUUGAUACAAGACAAUACAUUUCAUACUUUUGAUAUUUGAAUUUGUUUUUUGUCCCUUUGAAUUCUUUUGAUAACUUGCGAGGAACUAUGGAAUAAAUAAGAUAUCAAUUGUUACAAGGUGUUGAAAGCAUCUAGCUAAUACUGUCGUAGUUGCUACUAAACUUUAUAUGACUCCAGAAGUCCAAUUUUGUGGUAUAUUAUUGGGUGGCACAACCCAUGUUUCAUCUCCGUCAUCACUUCCACUCGGUAGCAUCCUCACAAGUAGCAUCCUCACAGAGAGAGUUCCACUUGGUGGAGAUGCCACUGCCCACACUGCUCCAUGGCUUCUCUCCAACAACUUUAUCCGGGGAAGUUUUCUACUAUUUAAUAAUGUUAUUCCUGUUGUGAUGUUAUGCUCUAUUAUUUGUUAAGAUUGAAUGUAUCUUAUUUUUUUACCCAAAAAAAUGAAUAUGUAUCUGAAAUUUAUAAAUUCCUUUGCUUCUUCAUUUGUCUUUAA